rnacentral:rRNA from 1 species
UAACUUAGUGGCGAACGGGUGAGUAACGCGUGAGUAACCUGCCCUGGAGUGGGGGACAACAGUUGGAAACGACUGCUAAUACCGCAUAAGCCCACGGCCCGGCAUCGGGCUGAGGGAAAAGGAUUUAUUCGCUUCAGGAUGGACUCGCGUCCAAUUAGCUAGUUGGUGAGGUAACGGCCCACCAAGGCGACGAUUGGUAGCCGGACUGAGAGGUUGAACGGCCACAUUGGGACUGAGACACGGCCCAGACUCCUACGGGAGGCAGCAGUGGGGGAUAUUGCACAAUGGGGGAAACCCUGAUGCAGCGACGCCGCGUGGAGGAAGAAGGUUUUCGGAUUGUAAACUCCUGUCGUUAGGGACGAUAAUGACGGUACCUAACAAGAAAGCACCGGCUAACUACGUGCCAGCAGCCGCGGUAAAACGUAGGGUGCAAGCGUUGUCCGGAAUUACUGGGUGUAAAGGGAGCGCAGGCGGACCGGCAAGUUGGAAGUGAAAUCCAUGGGCUCAACCCGUGAAUUGCUUUCAAAACUGCUGGCCUUGAGUAGUGCAGAGGUAGGUGGAAUUCCCGGUGUAGCGGUGGAAUGCGUAGAUAUCGGGAGGAACACCAGUGGCGAAGGCGACCUACUGGGCACCAACUGACGCUGAGGCUCGAAAGCAUGGGUAGCAAACAGGAUUAGAUACCCUGGUAGUCCAUGCCGUAAACGAUGAUUACUAGGUGUUGGAGGAUUGACCCCUUCAGUGCCGCAGUUAACACAAUAAGUAAUCCACCUGGGGAGUACGACCGCAAGGUUGAAACUCAAAGGAAUUGACGGGGGCCCGCACAAGCAGUGGAGUAUGUGGUUUAAUUCGAAGCAACGCGAAGAACCUUACCAGGUCUUGACAUCCCGAUGCUAUUUCUAGAGAUAGAAAGUUUCUUCGGAACAUCGGUGACAGGUGGUGCAUGGUUGUCGUCAGCUCGUGUCGUGAGAUGUUGGGUUAAGUCCCGCAACGAGCGCAACCCCUAUUGUUAGUUGCCAUCAUUGAGUUGGGCACUCUAGCGAGACUGCCGGUAAUAAACCGGAGGAAGGUGGGGAUGACGUCAAAUCAUCAUGCCCCUUAUGACCUGGGCUACACACGUGCUACAAUGGUUGGUACAACGAGUCGCAAGUCGGUGACGGCAAGCAAAUCUCUUAAAGCCAAUCUCAGUUCGGAUUGUAGGCUGCAACUCGCCUACAUGAAGUCGGAAUCGCUAGUAAUCGCGGAUCAGCACGCCGCGGUGAAUACGUUCCCGGGCCUUGCACUCACCGCCCGUCA